rnacentral:rRNA from 1 species
AUUGAACGCUGGCGGCAUGCUUUACACAUGCAAGUCGAACGGUAGAGGGGCAACCCUUGAGAGUGGCGAACGGGUGAGUAAUGCAUCGGAACGUGCCCAGUAGUGGGGGAUAGCCCGGCGAAAGCCGGAUUAAUACCGCAUGAGACCUGAGGGUGAAAGCGGGGGAUCGCAAGACCUCGCGCUAUUGGAGCGGCCGAUGUCAGAUUAGCUAGUUGGUGGGGUAAAGGCCUACCAAGGCGACGAUCUGUAGCUGGUCUGAGAGGACGACCAGCCACACUGGGACUGAGACACGGCCCAGACUCCUACGGGAGGCAGCAGUGGGGAAUUUUGGACAAUGGGCGCAAGCCUGAUCCAGCCAUGCCGCGUGCGGGAAGAAGGCCUUCGGGUUGUAAACCGCUUUUGUCAGGGAAGAAAUCUUCUGGGCUAAUACCCUGGGAGAAUGACGGUACCUGAAGAAUAAGCACCGGCUAACUACGUGCCAGCCGCCGCCGUAACAC